UCUUAGCCUGUGGAAUCGAAUCAAGAGAGCGGCGGCCAGUCGGCGCGACUCACUUCAGAGAACGACUCCGUUGUGGGAUUCGAAGGAUUUGCCUGUAGAAGGAUUCUAGGAGUCGCCGGUCGGAGGCGAAGUAAUCUUAACUUCCCAUCGUUUGCUUUGUGGAAACCUAGACCUAAGAAUAUGCUGCUUGACUAGAAACAACAGAGCCUCAAGAUUGGCGAUGGGAUCAGUCAGUCUUUCACUUUCUUUUGCGAGUUUUUAUGCUGGACAUGGUCACUCUCUGUUACCAGGUGCUGGAGAUUUUGCUUGGGUCCACAGAUUACUUGACUUGGCGGACAUUUGGAACCUCGGCUGCAUCUUCGGUUUUCGCACGAUUUACACCUCUACAAUGUGGCUGGAUUCUUGGACUAAGAAUGAGAUGGACCUGGGUUUCUUGGUAUAUAAAUAUGCAGUGCGCUUUGGGUUGUCUUCAAAGAGCUUUUGUGACCUUAUCACUGAUAUGGGUUCUCAUGGGUGUACAGGGGUGGAAUUAUGAUUUCUUAUUUUGAAAGUUGAUGAUUAUACUUCUUGAAUCUCCAUAUAUUGCAGCUUUUUACCAUUUGGAAUUGUAUUAAUAAGGUCAUAUCUACUAUAUCAAGUUAAUCGAGAGAUGCUAGUAUGACAUGCAAGAUGUAAUAUAUACCGGUCAUGACAUUGUUGAUGCAUGUAAGAGCAGUAAGUUCCUUUAUUUGAAUCAAUAGAUUUAACUUUGACCUCAACUAGCAACCUUCCAUGGAUACAUGUCACCUCAACUAGCAAUUUGACUUAAAUGUCUACAUUGGUAUCAUUCUUUGUCACAACAUUUCUGAUACAAUCUGUUUACUUAGGUGCUGAUCUCCAAAAGGGAAUAGCCAGAGGCUCCUCUUUCCCCUGCAAUGGAUGCUGUAAUAAGAGUAUUCAAACGUGUCGCUGGAUUAUCUAAGUGUGCAGGCGAGGCAGAGUUGUCUGGUGCUGCUGGAGUUGCAUUCUGUUCCAUCCGUUUGUUGGUAGCAUCCACACAAGCGAUUAAUUUAAUUGGAAAACAAGGAUCAUUAAUCAAAUCUAUAGAGGAGAGUACCGCUGCUUCUGUGCGAGUGUUGUCUGGAGGGCCUUGGAUUACAAGUUGUGAAAUAUUUGGCUGCCAAAUAUGAAGAGCUAGGGUGUGAAGUGAAAUGGAUGGGCAAGCCUGAUAAGGUGAUCUAGUCACAUUGGUCUGGUUACCGCUGUUAACUUCACUUCAUGUGAACCUUUAGCUUAAUACAUAUUUCUCUUGCACUUGACUACUAAGAUGAAUUUUGAGCAAGGCUAGUUUUUGCUUUGAAGCAAAGUUUGGUGUUGAAAUUUUGUAGAUUGUUGCUCAUAUGUUUCUAGGCUAGCCUUUGUAGGUUUUGGGGUUUUCUUUUGUGACAUAUGUUCAAUCAUGAAUUUGGAAAGAAAAUUAAGGAGAGCCCCAAUUUUUGGAUGAUUAUGAAAUGCAUUUCUUUUCCUAGCAGCAGCUAG